rnacentral:rRNA from 1 species
CGGGAGUAACGCGUAGGUAACCGGCCUUGUUAGCGGGGGAGUAACUAUUGGAAACGAUAGCUAAUACCGCAUAACAAAUAGGAGUGACCCACUGUCAUUUAUUUUGUAAAGGGGACAAAUAGCUCCCACUACAAGAUGGACCUGUGUUGUAUUAGCUAGUAGGUGAGGUAACGGCUCACCUAGGCGACGAUACAUAGCCGACCUGAGAGGGUGAUCGGCCACACUGGGACUGAGACACGGCCCAA